rnacentral:rRNA from 1 species
GUGCCAGCAGCCGCGGUAAUACGUAGGGUGCAGGCGUUAAUCGGAAUUACUGGGCGUAAAGCGUGCGCAGGCGGUUUGUUAAGGCAGGUGUGAAAUCCCCGGGCUUAACCUGGGAAUUGCGCUUGCAACUGGCAAGCUAGAGUGUGGCAGAGGGGGGUGGAAUUCCACGUGUAGCAGUGAAAUGCGUAGAUAUGUGGAGGAACACCGAUGGCGAAGGCAGCCCCCUGGGUUAACACUGACGCUCAUGCACGAAAGCGUGGGGAGCAAACAGGAUUAGAUACCCUGGUAGUCC